rnacentral:rRNA from 1 species
CAGUAGCCACGGGAAUACGAAGGGUGCAAGCGUUAAUCGGAAUUACUGGGCGUAAAGCGCGCGUAGGUGGUUUGGUAAGAUGGAUGUGAAAUCCCCGGGCUCAACCUGGGAACUGCAUCCAUAACUGCCUGACUAGAGUACGGUAGAGGGUGGUGGAAUUUCCUGUGUAGCGGUGAAAUGCGUAGAUAUAGGAAGGAACACCAGUGGCGAAGGCGACCACCUGGACUGAUACUGACACUGAGGUGCGAAAGCGUGGGGAGCAAACAGGAUUAGAUACCCCCGUAGUCCCUGUCUCUUAUAC